CAAUAGCGUAUAUUAAAGUUGUUGCAGUUAAAAAGCUCGUGGUUGGAUUUCUGGUUGAAGCGACCGGUCGGGCGUUGAUUCGUCUGCACUGGAGUCGGUUUUGGCCAUCCUCUAGGAAAGUGCGUCUGGUAUUAAGUUAUCGGGCGUAUGAUCCUGGUCUUUUACUGUGAAAAAAUUAGAGUGUUUAAAGCAGGCCUUCGCCUUGAAUACAUUAGCAUGGAAUAAUAAGAUAGGACUUUGGUCUAUUUUGUUGGUUUGCAGACCGAAGUAAUGAUUAAUAGGGAUAGUUGGGGGUAUUUAUAUUCCGAUGUCAGAGGUGAAAUUCUUAGAUUUUCGGAAGAUAAACUUAUGCGAAAGCAUUUACCAAGGAUGUUUNCAUUAA
rnacentral:rRNA from 1 species